CACCAGCGCCACGAGUGGCUAUCGCGAUUAUUGGGCCUAAAGCGUCCGUAGUCGGCUCUGUACAUCUUCUGUGAAAUCGCACCGCUCAACGGUGCGGCAUGUGGGAGACACGGCAGAGCUUGAGACCGGGAGGCGUGUAGGGUAUUCCACGGGGACCGGUAAAAUGGUAUAAUCCGUGGAGGACCACCUGUGGCGAAGGCGCUACACGAGAACGGAUCUGACGAUGAGGGACGAAGGCCAGGGGAGCAAACCGG
rnacentral:rRNA from 1 species